GAUGAACGCUGGCGGCGUGCCUAAUACAUGCAAGUCGAGCGAACAGACGAGGAGCUUGCUCCUCUGACGUUAGCGGCGGACGGGUGAGUAACACGUGGAUAACCUACCUAUAAGACUGGGAUAACUUCGGGAAACCGGAGCUAAUACCGGAUAACAUGUUGAACCGCAUGGUUCAACAGUGAAAGACGGUCUUGCUGUCACUUAUAGAUGGAUCCGCGCCGCAUUAGCUAGUUGGUAAGGUAACGGCUUACCCAGGCAACGAUGCGUAGCCGACCUGAGAGGGUGAUCGACCACCCUGGAACUGAGACACGGUCCAGACUCCUACGGGAGGCAGCGGUAGGGAAUCUUCCGCAAUGGGCGAAAGCCUGACGGAGCAACGCCGCGUGAAUGAUGAAGGUCUUCGGAUCGUAGAGCUCUGUUAUUAGGGAAGAACAAAUGUGUAAGUAACUAUGCACGUCUUGACGGUACCUAAUCAGAAAGCCACGGCUAACUACGUG
rnacentral:rRNA from 1 species